rnacentral:misc_RNA from 1 species
CUCAUUUAUUGAUCUCGGUGAUGUCACUGGGCGAAGACUGCAAGGAUUGUCGUUGCGAGUAAAGACGGGAGCAUUUGUUGAAAGAAGCCGGUGUCGUACCUGGGAAAUUACCGAGUCUGUUGGAGAGCACGGCGACUUGUACCUAUCAACCUCUAGACAUCGCUCCCGUCUGUCGUCUGCCCGCUCUCACUUGGUGACCAGACGAAAUAUACGACUUCUCGCCUUGAAGCUCAAACACUCGUCUGUGUUGAUAUUCACAAACGAGCAGUAUGUCGACCAAACUGGACAAAGAUGACGUUAGGGCCGCCUAUGAAGACGUGAGAGACGAUGCAUCAGCUACCCUUUGGGCUGUGUUCAAAUAUGAAGGGAAUACUAUUCAGAGGAGCGCUACUGGGGAUGAUUACGGAGAGUUUCAAUCACAGUUCGGAGAUGAUGAAAGGGCGUUUGGUUUUAUUCGUAUAACUACGGGCGACGAAUUGAGCAAACGAUCAAAAUUUGCUCUUGUCACGUGGGCCGGUUCCCUUUUAUCAGCAUUAAAGCGAGCGAGGCUGAGCACGGACAAAUCCCUUAUAAAACAAGUCAUCCAAAACUUUGCCGUGGAAAUCAUGACCUCUGAACAGGACGAAAUCAGAAUAGAGUACAUCACGGAUGAAGUGAAGAAAGCAGGCGGAGCCAACUAUGGAACUGGUCAAUGAUGACAAAGAACUUAGUGCAGUUGAACAGUUCUGACUAUGUUAAAUGUGAAUCGCAAUGGUUGAAACUGUGGAUUAUGAGUAGAGAUCUUUAAAGACUGGAAUAGUGCGGUGUCUUUGACAACUGUCCCGUGUGUCUGGGGAUUAUUGGAACAUAUGUUCUGUGGCAGCAGGAUGGAGAAUUGGGGGACAGAUUUUGAAGAGGCCGCAUCUGGAUCCACCUCUCCACAUCUCAAACUCCCAACGUUCAGUCAUUUUCUCUUAAAUAUUUUUAGUAAUAUAUUCCGUACAAACUAAAUAUACUUAAUGUUGUAUUGUAAACCCAGAUUAACUUGUAGACUUAAUUUUCGUAUACAGUUUGUUACUUUUUCAAGUGUAACCAUGGAGAAACAGGAUUACCACCUCCGUGCAAUUAAGAGCUGACUCAGCAAUGCAAUGUAUACACGAAGACCACCUAUGCAAUGACUUCAUGCAGUCACAUCAUGUGUUCAACCAUUGACAGGAGAAUCCAGAAAGCUGAUCAAACUGCGACUUCUUACAACCGCUAUGGUAUUGAUUCAAACAGAUUUCAUGCAUACACCAUCAGCUAUAUUAUAUAUGGCCUCAAACAUCUGCCUUACUGUGUAUGCAUGACAAAUGGUAAAAGUCUUUAUUUCUAAAGUAUGUCAUGUCAUUUGGGGGCACGAAGGGCUUGUCUUAAGUGCGACAACUGUCUGUGCUGAGUUAUCCCAGGUAGACACUGUCUGUGUUGAGUUAUCCCAGGUAGACACUGUCUGUGCUGAGUUAUCCCAGGUAGACACAGUGCUGAGUUAUCCCAGGUAGACGUGUCUUAAACCUAUGAUCGUGGGUUUGAAGCCAAGUCCCCCCCCCCCCCCGAUUGUUGGCGCUGGGUAUGUCAGCACUAUAAGGGUGAUCGUGGUGUUACCAGAGGGAUAACCGUCUGAUAUCUGCAUCACUUCAGCUUUUGUCCCUGAGGCUAACAGCUGCGCGUCAAAGCAACCUUAAACCCCAACCCACUCACUCACCAUAUCUGAUCCCACAUGGGUAGGCCUACAAUGUGUGAAGCCCAUUUCUGCUGUCACUUCUCUUUCUCCUCAACCCCCCUGAUAUGGUUGGAAUACUUACAAAAGCGGCGUAAAACCCAACUCACUCACUCACUUUAUCUGAUUAAUCUACACCUUAACAGUAAUGUGCACAGACUUAAAACGCCAUCUGUCAACGUUUACUAAAUUGAAGUGUCGACUCUCAGCAAUUUCCUCAUCACAGCUAUUGACUCACUCCAUUGUCCUCACUCUGUAGCCUCCACAAGAAUGUGUAGCCGUGUGGUGCCCUACUAUUUGUUUUAGGUUCCAUGUAUGUACAGAAGAUAAGCUAAAACUGUUGGGCUCACGGUAUGUCAGGAAUGAACAGUCCAUACGAACAAAAUCAAAAUGUUCUGUGAAGAUGAAAGAACAACACUUCUGUUAAUCUGUAGUUGGUGCGGUAUUAUAAGAUGUCAAAGAUUUAUUCCAUAAUGAUAAAUUCCCCUUGAAAUUCACGGAGUCGAAAUUCAACCCUGGGCGACAGGAAGAAAGCAGUGAUUGUCUUCAAGGGGGGCAGUUCCGAUACGCAGUCGUAGUCUUAUCUAAGAUUCUCAGCUUCUGACUCAAGGUCAAGGUCGAUAUGCAUUGCCUGUAUUCUAUUACGAUAUUCUGCUGUGUGCAAUUCGCAAAUAUUAUGAACUAACAUUUAUAUAUAUGGUUUUACCCAUGUUAUGUUUCUAUUUAUUGUUGUCCUCUAAAACCAAAACCAUUUAACCAGAUUUAGGAUUUCAACACCUUUCUGCAACAGUUGUUAAGAAUGUCGGGGAUGUUUGGAUGUUAAUAUCAAAGCGAAACUCUGAAUUCAUAUUUCAUCGAUUUAUCACGCGCAGUUUCAUUAAUUCACCAUCUUGCCUUAUAACAUAUGCAGCUCUCAAUGUGUCCAACAGCAGGACGAACAAUCAAAAUGGCAAAACAAAACCACAUUAAUGUGGCGGGGAACAUAUUUCAGAGCUACCAUUUCAAAAAGGCCCUGUGUGUACGGUGUUGUAUGAACAACGGUAAUUGAUAUGUGUUCCUUUAUGUAAGUUUCACCAGUUUGAUUAUUUCUUUCCAAACGUAACAUAAAGUUUAGAACAAAAAUGACCAUGUACGAAUUUAGUGAUACAGUUGUAUAGCUAUGUCUGUUUCUGCCAUUGUCCAAUCUGUAAACAUGAAGCAGGCAGUGAUUGUUGAAUGAUGUAUUUGCUUUUCAUUCGUUGUCUCAAAGACACACGGAAAAUGCAAAUGUAUUGUACCCAUUGGGACAAUGACUGAGAACGAGAAUAUGUGUUUGGGCCUCAGUGUGUGAUACAGGGUUAUAUAUCAGACUCUACAGCUCACUGUUGUAUUUUACGAAAUAAAUUAUUUUUACAAGUUUA